GAUGAACGCUGACAGAAUGCUUAACACAUGCAAGUCGACUCGAGUCUUCGGACUUGGGUGGCGCACGGGUGAGUAACGCGUAAAGAACUUGCCUCUUAGACCGGGACAACAUCUGGAAACGGAUGCUAAUACCGGAUAUUAUGGUUUUUUCGCAUGGAGGAGUCAUGAAAGCUAGAUGCGCUAAGAGAGAGCUUUGCGUCCCAUUAGCUGGUUGGUGAGGUAACGGCCCACCAAGGCAAUGAUGGGUAGCCGGCCUGAGAGGGUGAACGGCCACAAGGGGACUGAGACACGGCCCUUACUCCUACGGGAGGCAGCAGUGGGGAAUAUUGGACAAUGGACCGCAAGUCUGAUCCAGCAAUUCUGUGUGCACGAUGACGUUUUUCGGAAUGUAAAGUGCUUUCAGUCGGGAAGAAGUCAGUGACGGUACCGACAGAAGAAGCGACGGCUAAAUACGUGCCAGCAGCCGCGGUAAUACGUAUGUCGCAAGCGUUAUCCGGAUUUAUUGGGCGUAAAGCGCGUCUAGGCGGCAAGGAAAGUCUGAUGUGAAAAUGCGGAGCUCAACUCCGUAUGGCGUUGGAAACUGCCUUACUAGAGUACUGGAGAGGUAGGCGGAACUACAAGUGUAGAGGUGAAAUUCGUAGAUAUUUGUAGGAAUGCCGAUGGGGAAGCCAGCCUACUGGACAGAUACUGACGCUAAAGCGCGAAAGCGUGGGUAGCAAACAGG
rnacentral:rRNA from 1 species